CCAACUUCUCCAGACCUUGCACCAGCUGGUGUGAUCCCUGCCUCUCAAUUAAGAACUGUGGAAUCAGAACUGAAAAGGAUCCAGCGAAAAUCACAAAGAUUAAGAGAAAAAGACAUAUUAGAUAUUAGAAAUGCAGAGGAAAUAAUGAUGGCAGACAGAAGCAAGGACAGGCCCUCCAGCACUGACUGAGCACCUGCUGCCUAUAGAGCUGUACACUGGAUGUGAAGACAAGCCACAUCCUCGGCCCCAUGGAGCUCUCAGUCUAAUGGAGGAGACAGGAUAUAAGCAAGUCACUUCAAUUCAACUUUGGAAUUGCGUCUACAAAGAAACGAAUGAAGUCCAGUGGGAGCCCAGCAGAAGAGAGACGACGAUUCAAAAAAGAAGGUCAGAAGGCCCCAGAGAAGAAGAGACCUUGGAAUCACGUUGAGAAGAAUGAGAUCUUACAAACAUCGGGGGAAAGCAGAAAUAAUGGGGGAAAUUUUUGCAACUGGUUUCGUGGGUUGGGAAUUCAGGAAGAGCUCAGCCUGCGCAGGUCUCCCUUGGGAUCUUUGAUGCUGUUGAAGUCAGAUGUGGGCUGGGGAUCCUGUCAUCAAAGGCUCCACUGUGCUCUCACAGGGUCAUCAGCUUCCUACAUGCUGGAUGGCUGCCUCCACAGCAAGUGUCCCGAGAGAAACUUUUCCAGUCUAAUCUCUGACAUCACACAGCAUCACUAUCCCAAGACUCAAGUGGUUCCCAGCAUGUCUCUAAGGUUGGCCCCCUCUUAUUGGGAGG
rnacentral:lncRNA from 1 species